ACGCUCGACACCUACGGGAGCAGCAGUGGGGAAUAUUGCACAAUGGGGGAAACCCUGAUGCAGCGACGCCGCGUGAGCGAAGAAGUAUUUCGGUAUGUAAAGCUCUAUCAGCAGGGAAGAAACUGACGGUACCUGACUAAGAAGCACCGGCUAAAUACGUGCCAGCAGCCGAGGUAAUCUGAGCGGGCUGGCAAGGC
rnacentral:rRNA from 1 species